UCAAGCAUGUCUAGUAUAAGCAUUAUACCGUGAAACUGCGAAUGGCUCAUUAAAUCAGUUAUCGUUUAUUUGAUAGUACCUUACUACUUGGAUAACCGUGGUAAUUCUAGAGCUAAUACAUGCUGAAAACCUCGACUUCGGAAGAGGUGUAUUUAUUAGAUAAAAAACCAACGCCCUUCGGGGCUUCUUGGUGAUUCAUGAUAACUUUACGGAUCGCAUGGCCUUGCGCCGGCGACGGUUCAUUCAAAUUUCUGCCCUAUCAACUUUCGAUGGUAAGGUAUUGGCUUACCAUGGUUUCAACGGGUAACGGGGAAUUAGGGUUCGAUUCCGGAGAGGGAGCCUGAGAAACGGCUACCACAUCCAAGGAAGGCAGCAGGCGCGCAAAUUACCCAAUCCCGACACGGGGAGGUAGUGACAAUAAAUACUGAUACAGGGCUCUUUUGGGUCUUGUAAUUGGAAUGAGUACAAUUUAAACCUCUUAACGAGGAACAAUUGGAGGGCAAGUCUGGUGCCAGCAGCCGCGGUAAUUCCAGCUCCAAUAGCGUAUAUUAAAGUUGUUGCAGUUAAAAAGCUCGUAGUUGAAACUUGGGUCUGGCAGGCAGGUCCGCCUCACCGCGUGUACUUGUCCCGCCGGGCCUUCCUUCUGGAGAACCUCAUGCCCUUCACUGGGCGUGUUGGGGACCAGGACUUUUACUUUGAAAAAAUUAGAGUGUUCAAAGCAGGCCUUUGCUCGAAUACGUUAGCAUGGAAUAAUAGAAUAGGACGUGCGGUCCUAUUUUGUUGGUUUCUAGGACCGCCGUAAUGAUUAAUAGGGACAGUCGGGGGCAUCAGUAUUCAAUUGUCAGAGGUGAAAUUCUUGGAUUUAUUGAAGACUAACUACUGCGAAAGCAUUUGCCAAGGAUGUUUUCAUUAAUCAGUGAACGAAAGUUAGGGGAUCGAAGACGAUCAGAUACCGUCGUAGUCUUAACCGUAAACUAUGCCGACUAGGGAUCGGGCGAUGUUCUUUUUCUGACUCGCUCGGCACCUUACGAGAAAUCAAAGUUUUUGGGUUCUGGGGGGAGGUAGUUGCCACC
rnacentral:rRNA from 1 species